GAUGAACGCUGGCGGCGUGCUUAACACAUGCAAGUCGAACGAAGUCUUCGGACUUAGUGGCGGACGGGUGAGUAACACGUGGGAAUCUGCCCUCAGGAGGGGGAUAACAGAGGGAAACUUCUGCUAAUACCCCAUAUGCCUAACGGUGAAAUGAGUUUCGCCUGAGGAUGAGCCCGCGUCUGAUUAGCUAGUUGGUGGGGUAAGAGCCUACCAAGGCGACGAUCAGUAGCUGGUCUGAGAGGAUGAUCAGCCACAUUGGGACCGAGACACGGCCCAAACUCCUACGGGAGGCAGCAGUGGGGAAUCUUGCGCAAUGGGCGAAAGCCUGACGCAGCCAUGCCGCGUGAAUGAUGAAGGUCUUAGGAUUGUAAAAUUCUUUCACCGGGGACGAUAAUGACGGCACCCGGAGAAGAAGCCCCGGCUAACUUCGUGCCAGCAGCCGCCGUAACAC
rnacentral:rRNA from 1 species